UAGGAAUGGAGAAGCCAUGUAUACACUGUGU
rnacentral:piRNA from 1 species